CGGAAUGAUCGGCCGGACAGAGGCUAGGGCUGCUUCCUUCCCACCGCGUCCUUCCUUGUGUGUCGGAGAUAUAAAGCGAGUGCACCGGAAAAGAACGGGAACUGGGUCAAUCUAUUCUAUGGCGAAGCAUCCGAAGCAUAACUGCACACUCACACGAUCUUUGCCGAGAGAUAGGAGCAUUCGGUGGAACCGGUGAACUACACUUGCUUCUGGAUAGAUGUGUGGGACAGAGGGCUCGUGGUACCUUCUGGCCACCCUUCCUCCUCUGCUUUGAGAACCGUGUGAACGGAGAGUGGGCAGAAGGGAAGGAGGUCC
rnacentral:misc_RNA from 1 species